rnacentral:rRNA from 1 species
UAGAUACCCUGGUAGUCCACGCCGUAAACGAUGAUAACUAGCUGUCCGGGGACUUGGUCUUUGGGUGGCGCAGCUAACGCAUUAAGUUAUCCGCCUGGGGAGUACGGCCGCAAGGUUAAAACUCAAAUGAAUUGACGGGGGCCUGCACAAGCGGUGGAGCAUGUGGUUUAAUUCGAAGCAACGCGCAGAACCUUACCAGCGUUUGACAUGGCAGGACGACUUCUGGAGACAGAUUUCUUCCCUUCGGGGA